AAAACGUUCCGCGGAUGUGUUUACAUCGCGUAACACGUGCAUUCACGGCUGCCAGGCGAUCGUGGAAAUUGUAACGCCGCUCAUGCGAACAUGAUGAUCGGUACAGAAGGGAUUCUUUUUGUCAAUGCCAAUUGGAGUAUUCCCAAUAAAUAACAUUGAAUUACAUUAGAUAAUUCCACUUUAAAAAGGGAUUUGUUUUAUAGCUGAAACUUCCAGGAACGUGGUCGCAUUUCUUUUUGAAGUUUUAGACCCCUGAUUUUCAAGAAGAAAUUUAUGAACUAAG
rnacentral:misc_RNA from 1 species